rnacentral:rRNA from 1 species
GGUCAAGUUAUUAAGGGUGCAGGGCGGAUGCCUUGGCACUAGGAGCCGAUGAAGGACGUGAUAAGCUGCGAUAAGCUUCGGGGAGUUGCACGUAAACUUUGAUCCGAAGAUUUCCGAAUGAGGAAACUCACUUAGAGUAAUGUCUAAGUAUCAUUAAGUGAAUACAUAGCUUAAUGAGGGGAACUCAGGGAACUGAAACAUCUAAGUACCUGAAGGAAGAGAAAGAAAUUCGAUUCCGUAAGUAGCGGCGAGCGAACGCGGAUUAGCCCAAACCAAUAAAGUUUUCUUUAUUGGGGUUGCGGACAUAUCAUAACGAAGAGGUAUCGUAAUUGAAGAGGUUUGGAAAGACCCACCACAGAAGGUAAUAGUCCUGUAUGUUAAACGAGAAGACUUCAGAUAUGAUCCAGAGUACCACGGGACACGUGAAACCCUGUGGGAAGCAGGAGGGACCACCCUCCAAGGCUAAAUACUACCUAGUGACCGAUAGCGUAUAGUACCGUGAGGGAAAGGUGAAAAGAACCCCGGGAGGGGAGUGAAAUAGAACCUGAAACCCUGCACUUACAAGCUGUGGAAGCACAUUUCUUGUGUGACCGCGUACUUUUUGUAGAACGGGCCAACGAGUUACGUUAAGUAGCAAGGUUAAGCACUUAAGGUGUGGAGCCGUAGCGAAAGCGAGUUUUAACUGAGCGUUCAGUUACUUGACGUAGACCCGAAACCGGGCGACCUACCCAUGAGCAGGAUGAAGCGAAAGUAAAAUUUCGUGGAGGUCCGAACCCACGAGCGUUGAAAAGCUCGGGGAUGACUUGUGGGUAGCGGUGAAAUUCCAAUCGAGCCCGGAGAUAGCUGGUUCUCCCCGAAAUAGCUUUAGGGCUAGCCUCAAGGUGAGAGAUACGGAGGUAGAGCACUGAAUGUCCUAGGGGGUAUUGCACCUACCGAAGACUAUCAAACUCCGAAUGCCGUCAUCUUAUACUUGGGAGUCAGACUGUGGGUGAUAAGAUUCAUAGUCGAAAGGGCAACAGCCCAGAUCGUCAGCUAAGGUCCCUAAAUGUAAGUUAAGUGGUAAAGGAUGUGGGAUUGCACAGACAACCAGGAUGUUGGCUUAGAAGCAGCCACUCAUUCAAAGAGUGCGUAAUAGCUCACUGGUCGAGUGAUCCUGCGCCGAAGAUUUCCGGGGCUAAAACUUACUACCGAAGCUACGGCAUCAGUAAUGAUGGGUAGGGGAGCUUCCCAUACGGGUUGAAGCAUGACCGUAAGGACAUGUGGACAGUAUGGGAGUGAGAAUGUUGGCAUGAGUAGCGAGAUGUGGGUGAGAAUCCCACAGGCCGUAAACCCAAGGUUUCCAGGGGAAGGGUCGUCCGCCCUGGGUUAGUCGGGACCUAAGCUGAGGCCGAAAGGCGUAGGUGAUGGACAACAGGUUGAUAUUCCUGUACUACCGAUAACCGUUUGAGAGAAGGGAUGACACAGUAGGAUAAGCUAAGCACACUGUUGGUUAUGUGUGCCCAAGCAUUGAGGCAGUCAAAGUAGGCAAAUCCGCUUUGAUAAUGCUGGGAUGUGAUGGGGAGCGAAAUUUAGUAGCGAAGUAGCUGAUUUCACACUGUCAAGAAAAGUCUCUAUCGAGGUUAAAGGUACCCGUACCGCAAACCGACACAGGUGGGUGAGGAGAGUAUCCUAAGGCCAGCGAGAGAACUGUUGUUAAGGAACUCGGCAAAAUGACCCCGUAACUUAGGGAUAAGGGGUGCCACCAUCAGGUGGCCGCAGAGAAUAGGCCCAAGCGACUGUUUACCAAAAACAUAGGUUUCUGCUAAGUCGCAAGACGAUGUAUAGGAGCUGACGCCUGCCCGGUGCUGGAAGGUUAAGGGGAUCUGUUAGAGCAAUCGAAGCAGUGAACUUAAGCCCCAGUAAACGGCGGCCGUAACUAUAACGGUCCUAAGGUAGCGAAAUUCCUUGUCGGGUAAGUUCCGACCCGCACGAAAGGCGUAACGAUUUGGGCACUGUCUCAACAACAGACUCGGUGAAAUUGUAAUUCCGGUGAAGAUGCCGGAUACCUGCGACAGGACGGAAAGACCCCAUGGAGCUUUACUGUAGCUUGACAUUGGGUUUUGGUACUACAUGUACAGGAUAGGUGGGAGGCUUUGAAACCAGGACGCCAGUUUUGGCGGAGCCAUCCUUGGGAUACCACCCUUGUAGUACUGGGACUCUAACCAUAGGCCAUGAAUCUGGUCUUGGGACACUGUCAGGUGGGCAGUUUGACUGGGGCGGUCGCCUCCCAAAAGGUAACGGAGGCGCUCAAAGGUUCUCUCAGUACGGUCGGAAAUCGUACGUAGAGUGUAAAGGCAAAAGAGAGCUUGAUUGCAAGACAUACAGGUCGAGCAAGGAUGAAAAUCGGACUUAGUGAUCCGGUGGUUCUGCGUGGAAGGGCCAUCGCUCAACGGAUAAAAGCUACCCUGGGGAUAACAGGCUUAUCUCCCCCAAGAGUCCACAUCGACGGGGAGGUUUGGCACCUCGAUGUCGGCUCAUCACAUCCUGGGGCUGUAGUAGGUCCCAAGGGUUGGGCUGUUCGCCCAUUAAAGUGGUACGCGAGCUGGGUUCAGAACGUCGUGAGACAGUUCGGUCCCUAUCCGUCGCAGGCGUAGGAAAUUUGAGAAGACCUGUCCUUAGUACGAGAGGACCGGGAUGGACGUACCUCUGGUGUACCAGUUGUUCUGCCAAGGGCAUGGCUGGGUAGCUAUGUACGGAAUGGAUAAGCGCUGAAAGCAUCUAAGCGCGAAGCCAACUUCAAGAUAAGAUUUCCCACCGUAAGGGUAAGACCCCAGAAAGACUAUCUGGUUGAUAGGUCGAAGGUGUAAGUGCAGCAAUGUAUUUAGCUUAUCGAUACUAAUAGGUCGAGGACUUGACCAA